CCCCCCCGCCCGCAUUGCUAGGUGUUAAACUCCAACUCAGGUUUUAUCCCUCUCAAAAUAUGGAGACCAACUAAAUGUUCAAUGGCAAAACCCUUUGAACAUGAUUUUAACAGAUAAAGGAACAAAUAUUUGGAGAAGAAAAGAUGAGCUAUCAUGUCUAACAAUGACAUAUUAGAGAUUAUUUGUAAGUCCAUUCAUCUUCCUCUUUCUCUUAUUGUUCUCUUGCUCAGGUUUCUUUUGCUGGCCACCAUGGACAUCUGGGGCUGAGUUAUUCUUACUGUGAGAAGCUAUCUUGUGCAUUUUCAGAUGUAGCAGCAUACCUAUUUUAGCUUCACCCAAUAAAAAAUCAACUGCGACCUUCAUCCCCAGUUAUGACAAUUCAAAAAUAUCUCAACAUGGUCCUUAGGAAAUGAGCCAAACCACAUUCCCUCUUGACAAUGUAUUUGGUUAAAUUCCAAACCAAACCAACCAAACCAAGCAAGCCAAAGCAAAGCAAAGCAAGCAAAGCUUCCACACACAGGGAAGCAAAAUUAGUUAGUAGCUGUUGGGAAAGCAAAGCCAUAAAGGAAGCUUGUCCUCAUGCUCAUGCAAGUAUCUGACAGUUUCCUUGGGAUGCAGCAUGAUCUUUCAAACUGGAAAUGCUGGCUGUAGUGACACAUACCUGUAAUCCUAGCAUCCUGGGAGGCUGAAGCAGGAGGAACCAAUGCUUGAGUCUAGCCUGGAUAACUUAGUGAGACCCUGUCUCAAAACAAAACACAAAUGUGUUGGUGAAAUAGCUGAGUAUGAAGGCCUUGAGUUCACUCCAUAAGGCUGCAAGAAAAUUAAAUUUAAAAAAACUAGAUUUGUCCUCAAUGCCCAUUUGCUUGAUUUCAGUGAAAACGGGAACUUUUGGUGGAGAUCCACUGUUUCCAAAACCUUGAAGGAACAAAGGUUGCCACUCGCCAGCACCUGGGGAGUCAAUAUGCGUCUAUCAGUAAAUCAUUGAACAUAAAAUACUGCUCAAUUUGUCAAAUGGCUGGCUGCUGACUAGUGAGUCACAUGGAAGAACAAAUAAAGGAAGUAUGUCCUUUUUCCAUCAAUAUAUAAAUGGAUAUAAAGAUAUAAUACAAGCUCAGAAUCACGACUCAUUAACUAAUGAAGGCACAGCAUCACUUAGAUUCUAAAAAAAAAAAAUACUGUUUUGGGUCAAAUUUGGGAUGUUACCAGAGUAAGAGGAUGUAGUUAGAUGAUGUGAAAUGUUAUUUCCUGGCCUACAC
rnacentral:lncRNA from 1 species